rnacentral:rRNA from 1 species
CCUACGGGUGGCAGCAGUGGGGAAUUUUGCGCAAUGCUCGUAAGCGUGAAGCAGCGACGCAGCGUGAAUGACGAAGGCCUUCCGGUCGGAAAGUUCUUUUGACAGGGGAGUAAAUGCCUUUACGUAAAUGUGUAUGUAUUGACGGUACCUGUAUAAGCAGCCCCGGCUAACUCCGUGCCAGCAGCCGCGGUAAUACGGAGGGGGCGAGCGUUGUUCGGUUUGAUUGGGUUAAAAGGUUGCGUAGGCGGAAUAUCAAGUCAGCGGUAAAAAUUCGGGGCUCAACCCCGUCGUGCCGUUGAAACUGAUGUUCUUGAGUGGGCGAGAAGUAUGCGGAAUGCGUGGUGUAGCGGUGAAAUGCAUAGAUAUCACGCAGAACUCCGAUUGCGAAGGCAGCAUACCGGCGCCCAACUGACGCUGAAGCACGAAAGCGUGGGUAUCGAACAGGAUUAGAUACCCGAGUAGUC